GAUGAACGCUGGCGGCGUGCUUAACACAUGCAAGUCGAACGAGAAAUGGAGACGGAACCCUUCGGGCGGAAGGCUUCAUUUCGAGUGGCGGACGGGUGAGUAACGCGUGGGUAACCUGCCUCAUACAGGGGGAUAACAGUUGGAAACGACUGUUAAUACCGCAUAAGACCACAGCACCGCAUGGUGCGGGGGUAAAAACUCCGGUGGUAUGAGAUGGACCCGCGUUCGAUUAGCCAGUUGGCGGGGUAACGGCCCACCAAAGCGACGAUCGAUAGCCGAUCUGAGAGGAUGACCGGCCACAUUGGGACUGAGACACGGCCCAAACUCCUACGGGAGGCAGCAGUGGGGAAUAUUGCACAAUGGGAGAAACCCUGAUGCAGCGACGCCGCGUGAGUGAAGAAGUACUUCGGUAUGUAAAGCUCUAUCAGCAGGGAAGAAAAUGACGGUACCUGGGUAAGAAGCCCCGGCUAACUACGUG
rnacentral:rRNA from 1 species